AGUGGCACCCAGUGUCCCCAAGUCUCCCAGUGUCCCCUAGUGACAUGGGGACACUGGUAGACAUGGGGACACUGGGAGACAUGAGGACACUGGGAGCAAU